CCUAGGGGAGGCAGCAGUGAGGAAUAUUGGUCAAUGGGCGGAAGCCUGAACCAGCCAAGUAGCGUGCAGGAUGACGGCCCUACGGGUUGUAAACUGCUUUUAUACGGGAAUAACGCGCCGUACGUGUAGGGCUUUGCAUGUACCGUAUGAAUAAGGACAGGCUAAUUCCGUGCCAGCAGCCGCGGUAAUACGGAAGGUCCGGGCGUUAUCCGGAUUUAUUGGGGUUAAAGGGCGCGUAGGCGGCAUGUCAAGCGUGCUGUGAAAUGUCCGGGCUCAACCCGGGCCUUGCAGCGCGAACGGGCGUUCUCGAGUCCGCGGCAAGCAGGCGGAAUUCGUCGUGUAGCGGUGCAAUGCUUAGAUAUGACG
rnacentral:rRNA from 1 species